UAAAUUCUUGGCACACAAUAGCAGCUAAACUUCGCAAUGCAGCAUAAAAAGUGGCUCAGAAAGUUCUUUAUGCAAAAGUUUUACAGCACAAGGUCAAACACAAGAUGGUAAUGACAAGCUUGUCCAUGCUGAAAUUCUUGGAGAUAAGUGAACCUCCACAAAGUGGGCACUACAGUCAUUGUCAGUGCAUGUUCUGAGACACCCUGUAUAUGUGCAUGCACAGAAGAAUCAGGGGAACUGAGGGCGCUUGAUACUUAGACAAGCAGCUACCAUAUAAAACAGAUCUGAAGUCAAGAUAACUUGUGGAAAGGAAGCAAAUUACCUCGGCUGCUUCUUGGCCCACUUCAAUGCAAGUCAUGACUCCUUGCUUCU
rnacentral:lncRNA from 1 species